rnacentral:rRNA from 1 species
CGGGUGAGUAAUACAUCGGAACGUGUCCCGUAGUGGGGGAUAGCCCGGCGAAAGCCGGAUUAAUACCGCAUAUGCUCUACGGAGGAAAGUGGGGGACUCGCAAGGGCCUCACGCUAUGGGGGCGGCCGAUGUCCGAUUAGCUUGUUGGCGGGGUAAUGGCCCACCAAGGCGACGAUCGGUAGCUGGUCUGAGAGGAUGAUCAGCCACACUGGGACUGAGACACGGCCCAG